CCCACCAGGCCCCACCUCCAACACUGGGGAAUACAAUUGCACAUGAGAUGUGGGUGGGGACACAGAGCCAAACCAUAUCAGAUCUCACCAACAGAGCACUGGAAUAUCUUCUGCCUUUGCUCUGCCAAUCCACACCUGUCAUUUCCUUUGAGAUUUCCCUAAGUGGCCUUGCUAUGUUUGGUGGUGUUCGGCCCUGGCUCUAAUCACUUUGUGGUCCCCUGAGCCUGGAAGAGUCAGUCCCUGGAUAUCAGCCUUCUGGUCUUCCUCAGGGCAGCCUCCUCUGAACACCCCAUUUCUCUAAAACAGGAACCUCCACCUCCCUCAUGUACCUUCCAUCCCUUCACUCUGUUCUAGUUUCAUCCAGCACUGAAAUUACACUUCGCAUUGGUCUGCCUCUUUGCCUGUUUAUUUCCGUCUCUUUCACUAGAUUCUAAGGUCCAGGAGAGCAGAAAUUUGGUCUAUUCCUUCCACCACUGUAUCCUUGGUGCCAAGUACAGCACCCGACACACAGCUGGUACUCAAAAAAUACUUAUUUUUUUGUUUGUUUGUUUGUUUUUCUCUGUUGUGUUCUUGUUUUUGAGACAGGGUCUCAUUCUGUCGUCCAGGUUAGAAUGCAGUGACAUGAUCACAGCUCACUACAGCCUCGAACUCCUGGCCUCAUGCAAUCCUCCCACCUCUGCCUCCAAAAGUGCUGGGAUUACAGGCAUGAGCCACUGUGCCCCUUGAGAAAUAUUUGUUGCAUGAAUGAAUGGACUCAGUACAUUCUGAAGUUGUGCUUACAGGGACCUUCUCUAUCCAACUAGAUCAUGGCUUCUGUGAAAGCAGGGAUUCUCUCCCUACUCAUCCCUUCUUCCUCAGCACCGUGCAUAACUUAGAUGCUUUAAAAUUUAAGCAAGUGAGGCCAGGUGCAGUGGCUCACGCCUGUAAUCCCAGCACUUUGGGAGGCCAAGGCAGGCGGAUCAUGUGAAGUCAGAAGUUCGAGACCAGCCUGGCCAACGUGGUGAAAUCCUGUCUCUACUAAAAAUACAAAAAAAAAAAAAAACCUAGCCGGGUGUGGUGGCUGGCGCCUGUAAUCCCAGCUACUUAGUGGGGCUGAGGCAGGAGAAUCUCUUGACCCUGUGAGGCAGAGGUUGCAGUGAGCCGAGAUGGUGCCACUGCACUCCAGCCUGGGCAACAGAGCAAGACUCCAUCUCAAAACAAACAAACAAACAACAAUAAAAAAAAGUAAGUAAAUGAAUGACAUUGUGAACCACAAACACUAUCCACACAUCAGAAUAAGAAAAAGCACAUGUCCACCACUUUUCUAGGGAAAAAUAAGAGCUAACACUUAAAGAAUGCUUUCUCCCGGGAGAGUUGUAAGUGCUCUCCAAGGUAUUCAUUCAUAAAAUUCACAGGACAACACUAGGAGUUGGGGGAUAGAAUUUUCUGCUCGUGAAAGGUGAGGACUUGGAGUUACACAGCUAGCAAGUGACAGUGAUGGAAACAGGUCCAGGCACUCCAGACAGAAUCUCUGCCCUUAACCCCCAUACUAGGCUUUCUCUUUCUUCUGACUUUGAAAACUAGGAUAAAUUCAAAAACAAUUAGAAAAACAUCCCAAGAGAGGACUUUGGGUGCUAACCCUCUGCUCUGCUCCCUUGAGUUUAUCUUUUAUUUUUUCUUUCCAAGUAGAUUGCAAGUUACAAAUCCCUGCUCCAAAUUAAGAUGUCACGUGAUAAUCUCUCCCUUACAGGUUAAACUUCAAGACUAUGCUUAACCUGCGGUUAGUGAGGCACAUGAAGGUCUUUCCAAGAGAGAGUUGAAUGCAGCUCUUCCCCGAGCUGUAAGAAUGCAACCCCAGAUUAAAUUGGCAGAGCGAAGGCGGGAGCAGGCAGAGACAGCUUGGACUCUCUGCCAAGGGUGUAGAGUACAAGAAUUUCCAGCUAACAAAGAUGAACUUCUCCACUGAUGCAAAACUGGCCCCCUCAGGUGUCCUUGUGAUUUACAUCAUUUCAGUGUUAAUAUGCAGGGGGGCCUUUGAUAAAUAAGACCCUUUAAGUAACUGGAAUUUUCUAUACUCAACACUAAUGCCCACUAAUGUUAAUUAAGUAUUUAUUGAAAUCAAAAUUUCUGGCCAGGCGUGGUGGCUCAUGCCUGUAAUCCCAGCACUUUGGGAGGCUGAGGCAGGUGGAUCACCUGAGCUCAGGAGUUCAAGACCAGCCUGGGCAACAUGACAAAAUCCUCUCUCUACUAAAAAUACAAAAAAAUUAACCGGGCGUGGGGAUGCACACCUGUGGUCCCAGCAAGGGAGGCUGAGAUGGGAGGAUUGCUUGAGCCGAGGGAGGUGGAAGUUGCAGUGAGCCAAGAUCGCACCACUGCACUCCAGCCUGGGCAACAGAGUAAGACCUUAUCUCAAAAAAAAAAAAAAAAAAAGAAAAGAAAAUCAAGAUUUCCUCAGUGGAUCCAACAACCCACAUAAAUAUAACCUUUGAUAACCCAUAGUGUCUACCAUCCAGUUCUCUAUUUUACACAGUUAAAUGGAGCAAAGUGAUAUUGGGUAGACAGAUCUGAAGUACUACAAGAAUCUACUAGUACCAUGCCAGAUGCUGAUACAACAUUGUGGACGACCCCACAGAAUCCACAGUCUAUAGAAGGGAGUGGCCAUUCAUCCCCAAACUACACAGAUAAACUGCAACUAUAGCAAGGGGCACAUGGUGUUAAGAGAGGGUAAAGAGAUUUUAAUCUGGUCACAGAGGUCAAUGAAGGCAUCCCUGAGAAAAUAGCUCUUUCGUUAAGACCUGAAGGAAGAGUAAGAGAAUGAAUGGGGAGUAGGGAGAGACAGUGAGGACACGGAGCUUGGUGCAGCUGGAAAACCAAAGUGUAGAUUGGUGAGGAUGGGCAGGUGUGAUGGGGCUGAGGCUGGGGCAGUGCCCAGGGACAUCAGGCUGGACCUCGAAGAUGAAAUAAAUGUCUGGAUCUUUAUGAGCAGCCACUGGGGACCUUUAGGCUCUUUCAGAAAGGGAAAGAUUCGAGGAUUAUGUAGAAGGUGAAACUGACAACCUGCUAUGCAUCCGUUCUGCACACUUGCUGAGGCAGGAGACUGGACAAACACACUAAAGAGAGAAAAAGAAAGGUCAACAGCAAGGGCUGAAAUAAAAAGGACUUGCUGGCCCAUCUUAAGGUAAACAGAAAAACACUGAGGGCACACAUCUCCAGAGUGGUACAGUCAGGCCAAGUUUUGCUACUCUCAGCUAACUGCAAAUGUACACUUCUGCAAAUGGCCCAGAAACGAAUCUCAGAGCUUGAUAACAAUGAGUCAACCCAUCUUCAACCAUGGAGAUGGGUUCUAUUUUGCACUGCUCUCACUAAAACAAAACAAAAAUCUAGGCGGGACGUGGUAGCUCACAUCUGUAAUCCCAGCACUUUGGGAGGCCAAGGCGGGCAGAUCACCUGAGGUUAGGAGUUCGAGGCCAGCCUGGCAAACAUGGUGAAACCCUGUCUCUACUAAAAAUACAAAAAAAAAAAAAAAUAGCCAGGCAUGGUGGCACGUGCCCGUAAUCCAAGAUACUCAGGAGGCUGAGGCAGGAGAAUUGAUUGAAGCCGGGAGGCGGAGGUUGCAGUUAGCCAAGAUCGGGCCACUGCUCUCCAGCCUGGGUGACAUAGUGAGACUUGAUCUCAAAAAAACAAAACAAAACAAAAAAUCCAAAAAUCUAUAACAUAGCUAUUAUUCUUGCGAUGACACCAACAUUAUUAUGCAUCCGUAGAGCAGGAUACUUGUUUUAAUCUGCACAAAAAUCACAGCAUGUUCAUGCUGGGAGGAAACUUAAACAUUAUCUGAAUAUUUGUGUACUUUUCCAGUAUUCUCACAGAUGUUUUCAUAUAUAGUUUAUUUUCUGUUAACAUGUAUGUUUGGUGUCCCCUAAUUAAACUACGCGUGUUUUUCAUGUGGGCUAUACCAUGUGUACUGCCUUUCAAGUUACCCUCAUUCCCAUCUAAGCACCAGUGGAACACACACACACACACACACACACACACACACACACCCUUCCCCACCCACACACACACGACUGUACUCAGAGGAGCUUAAUCAACACUGUUAGUUGACUGACUUACUGACAACAGACCAAAGGCUGCCUCUGAGACUGAUGGUCAAAGCCAUGAAGGCAAGAGAUGUAUUUAGUCUCCAUUUAAAAGAAUCUGAUUCGGCUGAGCUCAGUGGCUCAUGCCUGUAAUCCCAACAAUUUGAGAGGCCAAGGAGGGCAGAUCACCUGAGGUUAGGAGUUCAAGACUGGCCAACAUUGUAAAAGCCUGUCUCCACUAAUAUAAAAAUCAGCCGGGCAUGGUGACAGGCCCUGUUAUUCCC
rnacentral:lncRNA from 1 species